UGAACCAGCAGAUUCACUUCGGUGAUGACGCUGGGAACGCUAGCGGCGGAUGGGUGAGUAACACAUGGGUAACCUGCCCUAAAGUCUGGGAUACCACUUGGAAACAGGUGCUAAUACCGGAUAACAACAAUAGCUGCAUGGCUAUUGCUUAAAAGGCGGCGAAAGCUGUCGCUAAAGGAUGGACCCGCGGUGCAUUAGCUAGUUGGUAAGGUAAUGGCUUACCAAGGCGACGAUGCAUAGCCGAGUUGAGAGACUGAUCGGCCACAUUGGGACUGAGACACGGCCCAAACUCCUACGGGAGGCAGCAGUAGGGAAUCUUCCACAAUGGGCGAAAGCCUGAUGGAGCAACGCCGCGUGAGUGAAGAAGGUUUUCGGAUCGUAAAGCUCUGUUGUUGGUGAAGAAGGAUAGAGGUAGUAACUGGCCCCUAUUUGACGGUAAUCAACCAGAAAGUCACGGCUAACUACGUGCCAGCAGCCGCGGUAAUACGUAGGUGGCAAGCGUUGUCCGGAUUUAUUGGGCGUAAAGCGAGCGCAGGCGGAAAGAUAAGUCUGAUGUGAAAGCCCCCGGCUUAACCGAGGAAUUGCAUCGGAAACUGUGUUUCUUGAGUGCAGAAGAGGAGAGUGGAACUCCAUGUGUAGCGGUGGAAUGCGUAGAUAUAUGGAAGAACACCAGUGGCGAAGGCGGCUCUCUGGUCUGUAACUGACGCUGAGGCUCGAAAGCAU
rnacentral:rRNA from 1 species